rnacentral:misc_RNA from 1 species
AAGUCGUAACAAGGUCUCCGUUGGUGAACCAGCGGAGGGAUCAUUAUAGAGUUAUUACCAACUCCUUAAACCCAUGUGAACUUACCACUUUGUUGCCUCGGCAGCAGACUUAUCCGUUUUACGGUUGGGUCCUGCCGGUGGACCAAUUUAAACUCUUGUUUUAUAUGCCAUUCUGAAUUAUUAAACUUAAUAAGUUAAAACUUUCAACAACGGAUCUCUUGGUUCUG